AACGAACGCUGGCGGCAUGCCUAACACAUGCAAGUCGAACGAGACCUUCGGGUCUAGCGGCGCACGGGUGCGUAACGCGUGGGAACCUGCCCUUAGGUUCGGAAUAACUCCCCGAAAGGGGUGCUAAUACCGGAUAAUGUCUUCGGACCAAAGAUUUAUCGCCUUUGGAUGGGCCCGCGUUGGAUUAGCUAGUUGGUAGGGUAAAAGCCUACCAAGGCGACGAUCCAUAGCUGGUCUGAGAGGAUGAUCAGCCACACUGGGACUGAGACACGGCCCAGACUCCUACGGGAGGCAGCAGUGGGGAAUAUUGGACAAUGGGCGAAAGCCUGAUCCAGCAAUGCCGGGUGAGUGAUGAAGGCCUUAGGGUUGUAAAGCUCUUUUACCCGGGAUGAUAAUGACAGUACCGGGAGAAUAAGCUCCGGCUAACUCCGUG
rnacentral:rRNA from 1 species